UUAAAGGAUCUUUUAAGAUCCAUUCCAACCCAAAAUAUUCUAU
rfam:Calypte anna contig124720, whole genome shotgun sequence.